rnacentral:rRNA from 1 species
CAGCAGCCGCGGGAAAACGUAGGGUGCAAGCGUUAAUCGGAAUUACUGGGCGUAAAGCGUGCGCAGGCGGUUAUAUAAGUCAGAUGUGAAAUCCCCGGGCUCAACCUGGGGACUGCAUUUGAGACUGUAUGGCUAGAGUGUGUCAGAGGGGGGUAGAAUUCCACGUGUAGCAGUGAAAUGCGUAGAUAUGUGGAGGAAUACCGAUGGCGAAGGCAGCCCCCUGGGAUAACACUGACGCUCAUGCACGAAAGCGUGGGGAGCAAACAGGAUUAGAUACCCGCGUAGUCCCUGUCUCUUAUAC